GAUGAACGCUGGCGGCGUGCCUAAUACAUGCAAGUCGAGCGAACGGACGAGAAGCUUGCUUCUCUGAUGUUAGCGGCGGACGGGUGAGUAACACGUGGAUAACCUACCUAUAAGACUGGGAUAACUUCGGGAAACCGGAGCUAAUACCGGAUAAUAUUUUGAACCGCAUGGUUCAAAAGUGAAAGACGGUCUUGCUGUCACUUAUAGAUGGAUCCGCGCUGCAUUAGCUAGUUGGUAAGGUAACGGCUUACCAAGGCAACGAUGCAUAGCCGACCUGAUAGGGGGAUCGGCCACACUGGAACUGGGACACGGUCCAGACUCCUACGGGAGGCAGCAGUAGGGAAUCUUCCGCAAUGGGCGAAAGCCUGACGGAGCAACGCCGCGUGAGUGAUGAAGGUCUUCGGAUCUUAAAACUCUGUUAUUAGGGAAGAACAUAUGUGUAAGUAACUGUGCACAUCUUGACGGUACCUAAUCAGAAAGCCACGGCUAACUACGUG
rnacentral:rRNA from 1 species